rnacentral:misc_RNA from 1 species
AAUACAUUACAUUAAAAAAAAAAGAGCAAAUUUAGAAGAGUAUAAGUAAAAACAAAGGCACAUUUCAAUUGUCCAAAUUUCUUAUUUACACAUCACUGCCUCACCAGUUUCAUUUUCUACAUCAAAUGCCUUAGGAUUCUGAUAUACUCUGUGGUUUGAUGAAAGGACAAAGAGACAGAAAAGGGACGGGUAUGAUUGUUAUCCUUUAAAUUGAGGAGGGAGAGGAAAGGGGGAAAUGCAGUUAUAUCUACAAAGCCCACUUUUAGUUUCUUAUCAAAGGUGACAGAGCUGGAGGCAUAGAAAUACCUACUGAUUGACUGCAUUUAACCCAAU